GGAUCCAUUCGUUUUAAACACAUAUCCAGGCAAAUUUAUGUGCAUUCUACAGCAUUGCCACAUGAAAAGAACAUGCAAAAAUUUACUGGUGAGUCGUGAGACCACAAAUUUUUUUGUUACAACUUACAAACCACAUAAAAAGAGACUAGCCAUCAACCAAAAGAGAGGCCAAUUAUCACCAACAAUGUACUAGACAAUGUACAUCAAUCCAUCCCAUGACCGAAUCAAUAAAAAAAAUGGACUGCAAUAGUUUUACUCCUUGGACGACUUGUUGAUUAG
rnacentral:misc_RNA from 1 species